rnacentral:rRNA from 1 species
GAUGGACGCUGGCGGCGUGCCUAAUACAUGCAAGUCGAGCGAACGGACGAGAAGCUUGCUUCUCUGAUGUUAGCGGCGGACGGGUGAGUAACACGUGGAUAACCUACCUAUAAGACUGGGAUAACUUCGGGAAACCGGAGCUAAUACCGGAUAAUAUUUUGAACCGCAUGGUUCAAAAGUGAAAGACGGUCUUGCUGUCAUUUAUAGAUGGAUCCGCGCUGCAUUAGCUAGUUGGUAAGGUAACGGCUUACCAAGGCAACGAUGCAUAGCCGACCUGAGAGGGUGAUCGGCCACACUGGAACUGAGACACGGUCCAGACUCCUACGGGAGGCAGCAGUAGGGAAUCUUCCGCAAUGGGCGAAAGCCUGACGGAGCAACGCCGCGUGAGUGAUGAAGGUCUUCGGAUCGUAAAACUCUGUUAUUAGGGAAGAACAUAUGUGUAAGUAACUGUGCACAUCUUGACGGUACCUAAUCAGAAAGCCACGGCUAACUACGUG